rnacentral:rRNA from 1 species
GACGAACGCUGGCGGCGUGCUUAACACAUGCAAGUCGAACGAUGAUGCCAGCGUGCGGGUGGGUUAGUGGCGAACGGGUGAGUAACACGUGAGCAACCUGCCCCUGACUUCGGGAUAACCGCGGGAAACCGUGGCGAAUACCGGAUAUGACGCGCUAUCGCAUGGUGGGGUGGGGAAAGAUUUAUCGGUUGGGGGGGGGCUGGCGGCCUAUCAGCUGGGUGGUUGGGUGAGGGGGUACCAAGGCGACGACGGGUAGGAGGCCUGAGAGGGAGAGCGGCCACACUGGCCCUGAGGCACCGGCCACACUGCUCCGUGAGGCAGCCGUGGGGGAUGUUGCAUAAUUGGCGCAAGCCUGCUGCACCGACCCCGCCUGAGGGAUGACGGCCUUCGAGUUGUUAGCCUCUUUCAGUAGUGAAGCAGGCCUUCGGGUUGACGGUACCUGCAGAAGAAGCGCCGGCUAACUACGUG